rnacentral:rRNA from 1 species
UACGUAGGGUCCGAGCGUUGUCCGGAAUUACUGGGCGUAAAGAGCUCGUAGGUGGUUUGUCACGUUGUUCGUGAAAACUCACAGCUUAACUGUGGGCGUGCGGGCGAUACGGGCAGACUAGAGUACUGCAGGGGAGACUGGAAUUCCUGGUGUAGCGGUGGAAUGCGCAGAUAUCAGGAGGAACACCGGUGGCGAAGGCGGGGUCUCUGGGCAGUAACUGACGCUGAGGAGCGAAAGCGUGGGGAGCGAACAGG